UGAAUACGAGACGCUAAGGCGUCGAAGUAGUGUAUGUCAUACUUCCAAGAAAAGCUUGCACUGUCAUAGAUAAAAAACGCCUGUACCAUAACCGACACAGGUGGGUAGGUAGAGUAUACUAAGGGGCGCGAGAUAACUCUCUCUAAGGAACUCGGCAAAAUAACUCCGUAACUUCGGGAGAAGGAGUGCCUUAUUCUUAAGGUUGCAAUAACAAGAUCCAAGCAACUGUUUAUCAAAAACACAGGUCUCCGCUAAGUCGUAAGACGAUGUAUGGGGGCUGACGCCUGCCCAGUGCCAGAAGGUUAAAGAAGCUGGUUAGCGUUUGCGAAGCUAGUAACUGAAGCCCUGGUGAACGGCGGCCGUAACAAUAACGGUCCUAAGGUAGCGAAAUUCCUUGUCGGGUAAGUUCCGACCCGCACGAAAGGCGUAAUGAUUUGGAUACUGUCUCGGAGAGGGGCUCGGUGAAAUAGACUUGUCUGUGAAGAUGCGGACUACCUGCACCAGGACAGAAAGACCCUAUGAAGCUUUACUGUAACUUGAAAUUGAAAUUGGACUUUAUUCGCGCAGUAUAGGUGGGAGGCGUUGAUUAUAAUCUUGCGGGAUUAUUGGAGCCAUUAGUGAGAUACCACUCUUGUAAUGUUAGAUUUCUAACUUUGAAUCAUUAUCUGGUCAAAGAACAGUUUCAGGCGGGCAGUUUGACUGGGGCGGUCGCCUCCUAAACGGUAACGGAGGCGUACAAAGGUUUCCUCUGAACGGUUAGAAAUCGUAUCUAGAGUGUAAAGGCAUAAGGAAGCUUGACUGUGAGACCUACAAGUCGAGCAGGGACGAAAGUCGGUCUUAGUGAUCUGACGGUACUGAGUGGAAAGGCCGUCACUCAACGGAUAAAAGUUACUCUAGGAUAACAGGCUGAUCUCCCCCAAGAGUUCACAUCGACGGGGAGGUUUGGCACCUCGAUGUCGGCUCAUCGCAUCCUGGGGCGGUAGUACGUCCCAAGGGUUGGGCUGUUCGCCCAUGAAAGCGGUACGCGAGCUGGGUUCAGAACGUCGUGAGACAGUUCGGUCCAUAUCCGGUGUAGGCGUUAGAAUAUUGAGAGGAGCCUUCUUUAGUACGAGAGGACCGAGAAGGACAUACCUCUGGUGUACCAGUUAUCGUGCCAACGGUAAACGCUGGGUAGCUAUGUAUGGAGUGGAUAACCGCUGAAAGCAUCUAAGUGGGAAGCCCACCUCAAGAUAAGUAUUCUC
rnacentral:rRNA from 1 species